GUUUACGGCCAUACCAGCCUGGGUACGCCCGAUCUCGUCUGAUCUCGGAAGCUAAGCAGGGUCGGGCCUGGUUGGUACUUGGAUGGGAGACCGCCUGGGAAUACCAGGUGCUGUAAGCU
rnacentral:rRNA from 1 species